AUACCUACCUGGCAGAAAAGAUACCAUGAUCACGAAGGUGGUUUUCCCAGAGCGAGGCUUAUCCAUUGCCCUCCGUCUGUGCUGACCUGUGCGAUUUCCUCAAAUGUGGGAAGAUCGACUGCAUGAUUUGUGAACAUGGGGGACUGCGUUGGUGCUCUCCUCUG